rnacentral:rRNA from 1 species
CCUACGGGGAGCAGCAGUGAGGAAUAUUGGUCAAUGGACGCAAGUCUGAACCAGCCAAGUAGCGUGCAGGAUGACGGCCCUCCGGGUUGUAAACUGCUUUUAGUUGGGAAUAAAAGGGGGCUCGUGAGCCCCGUAUUGUAUGUACCAUCAGAAAAAGGACCGGCUAAUUCCGUGCCAGCAGCCGCGGUAAUACGGAAGGUCCGGGCGUUAUCCGGAUUUAUUGGGUUUAAAGGGAGCGUAGGCCGGCUUUUAAGUCAGCUGUGAAAGUCCGCGGCUCAACCGUGGAAUUGCAGUUGAAACUGGAGGCCGUGAGUGCACACAGGGAUGCCGGAAUUCAUGGUGUAGCGGGGAAAUGCUUAGAUAUCAUGAAGAACUCCGAUCGCGAAGGCAAGUGUCCGGGGUGCAACUGACGCUGAGGCUCGAAAGUGCGGGUAUCAAACAGGAUUAGAUACCCUAGUAGUC